GUGGCGGUACCUCAGUGGUUAGAGGGCCAGCGUGUACCUGGUAGUCGGAGGUUCGAUUCCUCCCCGCUGCA
rnacentral:tRNA from 1 species